UACGUAGGAUGCAAGCGUUGUCCGGAAUUAUUGGGCGUAAAGAGCGAGCAGGCGGUUUGGAAAGUUGGACGUGAAAUUUUAGGGCUUAACCCUAAAGGGUCGUCCAAAACUCCCAGACUAGAGUGCAGGAGAGGAAAGCGGAAUUCCCGGUGUAGUGGUGAAAUGCGUAGAUAUCGGGAGGAACACCAGUGGCGAAGGCGGUUGCCUGGAGCUUUGCUGACGCUGAGGCGCGAAAGCGUGGGGAGCGAUCCGG
rnacentral:rRNA from 1 species